UGUGAUGCCCACCAAAAAUGUGCAUGUGUGUAUAGUUGUGUGCAUAUUCAUUUCUCUAUAUGAAUAUGCAUAUACACACAUGUACACACAUGUACACACCCACACCCA
ensembl:miRNA Gm22677 predicted gene, 22677